GCCGGGUAUGGUGGUGCAUGCCUGUGUUCCCAGCUACUCAGGAGGCUGAGGCAGAAGAAUUGCUUGAACCCAAGAGGCUGAGGUUGCAGUGAGCCGAGAUUGUGCCACUGUACUCCAGCCUGGGUGACAGAGUGAGACUCUGUCUCAA
rfam:Homo sapiens chromosome 16, GRCh38 reference primary assembly.